rnacentral:rRNA from 1 species
AUGGGGUACUCCAAAAACCUAGCGGCUGGCCUGCUCGCCAUGUUUUUCCUAGCUCCAGCCGUCCUGGCUACCGACCCUGACCCUCUCCAGGACUUCUGUGCCGCCGACCUCGACGGCAAGGCAGUCUCGGUGAACGGGCAUCCGUGCAAGCCCAUGUCGGAGGCCGGCGAUGACUUCCUCUUCUCGUCCAAGCUAGCCAAGGCUGGCAACACAUCGACCCCAAACGGCUCGGCCGUGACGGAGCUCGACGUGGCCGAGUGGCCCGGUACGAACACGCUAGGCGUGUCGAUGAACCGCGUGGACUUCGCACCGGGGGGCACCAACCCGCCACACAUCCACCCUCGUGCCACCGAGAUCGGCAUCGUGAUGAAAGGCAAGACCGAGGCCUCCAUGGUCGUCUCCUUCAACAGCCAGAACCCCGGCAUCGUCUUCGUGCCACUCACGCUCUUCGGCUCCAACCCACCCAUCCCGACACCGGUGCUCACCAAGGCGCUCCGGGUAGAGGCCGGGGUCGUGGAACUUCUUAAGUCCAAGUUUACCACCGGGUUUUAA